GACGAACGCUGGCGGCGUGCUUAGCACAUGCAAGUCGAACGGUAAGGCUCCAGCUUGCUGGGGUACACGAGUGGCGAACGGGUGAGUAACACGUGGGUGACCUGCCCUGCACUUCGGGAUAAGCCUGGGAAACUGGGUCUAAUACCGGAUAGGACCGCACCGUGAGGGUGUGGUGGAAAGUUUUUUCGGUGUGGGAUGGGCCCGCGGCCUAUCAGCUUGUUGGUGGGGUAAUGGCCUACCAAGGCGGCGACGGGUAGCCGGCCUGAGAGGGUGGACGGCCACAUUGGGACUGAGACACGGCCCAGACUCCUACGGGAGGCAGCAGUGGGGAAUAUUGCACAAUGGGCGGAAGCCUGAUGCAGCGACGCCGCGUGGGGGAUGACGGCCUUCGGGUUGUAAACUCCUUUCACCAUCGACGAAGGGUUUCUGACGGUAGAUGGAGAAGAAGCACCGGCUAACUACGUG
rnacentral:rRNA from 1 species